UAUACACAAUGGAAUAUUACUCAGCCAUCAAAAAGAACGAAAUACCAGAAUUUUUAGCAACAUGGAUGGACCUAGAAACUAUCAUGCUAAGUGAAGUCAGCCAUACAAUGAGAUACCAACAUCAAAUGCUUUCACUGACAUGUGGAAUCUGAAAAAAGGACAGACGGAACUUCCUUGCAGAACAGAUGCUGACUCACAGACACUGAAAAAUGUAUGGUCUCCGGAGGAGACAGUUUGAGGGGUGGGGGGAUGUGCUUGGGCUGUGGGAUGGAAAUCCUGUGAAAUCAGAUUAUUAUGAUCAUUAUACAACUACAGAUGUGAUAAAUUCAUUUGAGUAAUAAAAAAAUGAAAGAAAAAAAAAGGAUACUUAAGUGCAGCAUUGUUUGUGAUAGUGGUUUUGGAAUCAACAGGACAAUCCAUGAGACAGUGGCAGGAUCAAUAGGGUAUAUUCAAACAAGUGAAUAAGAGGCAAUUGAUGAUAAGAACAAGGAAGUUCUUUGUGUAUGAAGAGAAAGGUCCCUAAGAUCUACUGUUAAGUGAAAAAGGCAAGGUGCAGAACAGAGUUUAUUAGGUAUCAUUCACUGAGUGACUCCUUUAAAAUUUUUAUUUCUGUGUCAAAAUCAGAGUAAAGGGCAAGAAAUUUUGUUUCCAAAGGGCCAGAGGGGACAAAUUAUAACCAGAUCUUCUUAAGGGGUAAGGCCUAAUCUUUGCCAAGACAGUCAGCCUAAGGACUGAAGGCAGAGUCAGGUUUUGUCGGAAGUGAGAGGGCCUUCAUUAAGAAAAAAUGUAAAAUUAAAAAUAUAAACUUUGACAUAGCAGUUCCCUGGGGGUGUAGCAGGUUAAGGAUCUGGCGUUGUCACUGUUGUGGUUUGGGUCACAGCUGCAGUGUGACUAUGAAGUUCCUGAUCCCCAAACUUCUGCAUGCUCUGGGUGUGACCAAAAAUAAAAUAAAAUAAAAAACCUGGCACAAAUGUGAAUAUUUAUUCAAAAUGAGAAAGUAGAGUUCCCACUGUGGCUCAGUGUGGGUAUCCACGAGGAUGGAAGUUCCAUCCCUGCCCCUGCUCAGGGGGUUAAGGAUCUGGCAUUGCCAUGAGCUGUAGUAUAGGCUGCAGAUGAGAGUCAGAUCUGAUGUUGCUGUGGCUGUGGCAUAGGCUGGCAGCUGCACCUCCGAUUUGACCCCUACCCUGGGAACUUCAGGGAUAGCCCUGAAAGCACUAAAUAAAUAAAUAAUAAAAAAUAAACAAAUGGGACCUAAUCAAACUUAUAAGCUUUUGCACAGCAAAGAAAACCAUAAAUAAGGAGUUCCCGUCGUGGCGCAGUGGUUAACGAAUCCGACUAGGAACCAUGAGGUUGCGGGUUCGGUCCCUGCCCUUGCUCAGUGGGUUAACGAUCCGGCGUUGCCGGGAGCUGUGGUGUAGGUUGCAGACGCGGCUCGGAUCCCGCGUUGCUGUGGCUCUGGCGUAGGCUGGUGGCUACAGCUCUGAUUCAACCCUUAGCCUGGGAACCUCCAUAUGCCGCGGGAGCGGCCCAAGAAAUAGCAACAAUAACAACAAAAGACAAAAGACAAAAAAAAAAAAAAAAAAAAAAAAAAAAAAAAAGAAAACCAUAAAUAAGAAAAAGACAACCUAGAGAACUGGAGAAAAUAUUUGCAAACAAUGCAACCAACCAGGGCUUAAUUUCCAGAAUAAACAAACAGCUCAUACAAUUCAGUAUUAGAAAAACAAACAACCAAAUUGAAAAAUGGGCAGAAGAGCUAAAUAGACAUUUUUCCAAAGAAGACAGAUGGCCAAAAGGCACAUGAAAAGAUGCUAUAUCAUUAAUCAUUAAUUAUUUGAGAAAUGCAAAUCAAAACUUCACAAGGAAUAACUUCACACGGGUCAGAAGGGCCAUCAUUAAAAAAUCUACAAAUGGAGUUCCCACCAUGGCGCAGUGGGUUAAGAAACUCCAACUGCAACGUCUUGGGUCACUGCUGAGGUAUGCGUUCAAUCCCUAGCCCAGUACUUUGAGUUAAAGGAUCCGGUAUUGCCACAGCUGUGGCACAGGUUGCAGCCACAGCUCAGAUUCAAUUCCUGGCCUGGGAAUUCCAUAUGUCGCAGUGUGGCCAUUAAAAAAAAAAAAAAAAAAAAAAAAAAA
rnacentral:lncRNA from 1 species